GACGGAGGAUGCAAGUGUUAUCCGGAAUCACUGGGCGUAAAGCGUCUGUAGGUGGUCAAAUAAGUCAACUGUUAAAUCUUGAGGCUCAACCUCAAAAUCGCAGUCGAAACUAUUAGACUAGAGUAUAGUAGGGGUAAAGGGAAUUUCCAGUGGAGCGGUGAAAUGCGUAGAGAUUGGAAAGAACACCGAUGGCGAAGGCACUUUACUGGGCUAUUACUAACACUCAGAGACGAAAGCGUGGGGAGCAAACAGG
rnacentral:rRNA from 1 species